GGCUUCAUAGCUUAGUUGGUUAGGGCGUCGCACCGUUUUCGCGAUAUCACGGGUUCAAACCCCGUUGAAGUCC
rnacentral:tRNA from 1 species